AACGUAGGGGGCAAGCGUUGUCCGGAUUUAUUGGGCGUAAAGAGCGUGUAGGCGGCUAUACAGGUCCGUUGUGAAAACUGGAGGCUUAACCUCCAGACGUCGAUGGAAACCGUAUGGCUAGAGUCCGGAAGAGGAGAGUGGAAUUCCUGGUGUAGCGGUGAAAUGCGCAGAUAUCAGGAAGAACACCCGUGGCGAAGGCGGCGUCUCUGGGACGGUACUGACGCUGAGACGCGAAAGCGUGGGGAGCGAACAGG
rnacentral:rRNA from 1 species